AGUGUAGUUAAUAGCUGCAUUAUUUGACGUUAGCGACAGAAGAAGCACCGGCUAACUCCGUGCCAGCAGCCGCGGUAAUACGGAGGGUGCGAGCGUUAAUCGGAAUUACUGGGCGUAAAGCGCAUGCAGGUGGUUUGUUAAGUCAGAUGUGAAAGCCCGGGGCUCAACCUCGGAAUUGCAUUUGAAACUGGCAGACUAGAGUACUGUAGAGGGGGGUAGAAUUUCAGGUGUAGCGGUGAAAUGCGUAGAGAUCUGAAGGAAUACCGGUGGCGAAGGCGGCCCCCUGGACAGAUACUGACACUCAGAUGCGAAAGCGUGGGGAGCAAACAGGAUUAGAUACCCUGGUAGUCCACGCCGUAAACGAUGUCUACUUGGAGGUUGUGGCCUUGAGCCGUGGCUUUCGGAGCUAACGCGUUAAGUAGACCGCCUGGGGAGUACGGUCGCAAGAUUAAAACUCAAAUGAAUUGACGGGGGCCCGCACAAGCGGUGGAGCAUGUGGUUUAAUUCGAUGCAACGCGAAGAACCUUACCUACUCUUGACAUCCAGAGAACUUUCCAGAGAUGGAUUGGUGCCUUCGGGAACUCUGAGACAGGUGCUGCAUGGCUGUCGUCAGCUCGUGUUGUGAAAUGUUGGGUUAAGUCCCGCAACGAGCGCAACCCUUAUCCUUGUUUGCCAGCGAGUAAUGUCGGGAACUCCAGGGAGACUGCCGGUGAUAAACCGGAGGAAGGUGGGGACGACGUCAAGUCAUCAUGGCCCUUACGAGUAGGGCUACACACGUGCUACAAUGGCGCAUACAGAGGGCAGCCAACUUGCGAAAGUGAGCGAAUCCCAAAAAGUGCGUCGUAGUCCGGAUUGGAGUCUGCAACUCGACUCCAUGAAGUCGGAAUCGCUAGUAAUCGUGGAUCAGAAUGCCACGGUGAAUACGUUCCCGGGCCUUGUACACACCGCCCGUCACACCAUGGGAGUGGGCUGCAAAAGAAGUAGGUAGUUUAACCUUCGGGGGGACGCUUACCACUUUGUGGUUCAUGACUGGGGUGAAGUCGUAACAAGGUAGCGCUAGGGGAACC
rnacentral:rRNA from 1 species